UACAGAGGUCCCAAGCGUUGUUCGGAUUCACUGGGCGUAAAGGGUGCGCAGGUGGGUUUGCAAGUUUGAUGUGAAAGCCCCGGGCUUAACCCGGGAAUGGCAUUGAAUACUGGCAGAUCUGGAGGAUUGGGAGGGGGACUGGAAUUCUUGGUGUAGCAGUGAAAUGCGUAGAUAUUCGCAAGAACACCAGUGGCGAAGGCGGCUC
rnacentral:rRNA from 1 species